UUGUUUCUUUUUCACUUUUAACCAAGUGACUGUGUUUUUAUUGGGGACACGUGCCUGGGACAGGAGUGGAGCUAGUUGAGUUUUCCUGCUUGCCCUUAUAUUCCGCUGUGUGAACUCUGCUAGUAAGAUUAAACAAUCUUGCUUACUUUCCUGAGUUUCUAACGAUCCUCAAGAAAGAACUACAUUUUCCCAACAGUUUUGUUAAUAAUUACAUAUUAUAUAUUUAUUCAAAAUUAAAAUUCUGACAGUUUAAAUUCACCCCAAUUAAACUCCUCUGUCAGUCCCCAAGGGAUCUUGUAGCACCUUUGAUUCUGGAGGAUGGGGCCAUGUCAGCUGCAUUAUUUCUACAGUGCAGUUGCACCAAUACUUUAGGCUUUCUGGUCUAGAACUGUUGGAACAAAAGGAAUUCAGUCUUUCAAUGCUAUGGAACCCAGACUCCACACACACACACACACACACACACACACGGCAGAUGUCCCUAAUUGGCUCAGUUUUGGCUAAGAUCAAGUGUAGCACAGUGGGCCCUUGGUAUCCACCUGGGGUUUGGUUCCAGGACCCUGCCCCCCCUCCCCCUGGAUAUCAAAAUCUUUACAUGCUCACAUCCCAUUAUAUACAAUGGCAUAGUAAAAUGUUGUUCCUUAUAUAAAAUGGCAACAUCAUUGUUUGCUUUUGGGAAUUUCUUUGGGCAGGCGGGGAAGGGGGUAUUUUCAAGAUGUGGAUGGUUAACUCUGUGAAUGCAGAAGCCACCUGUAUCUUAAUUACAUAUUAUAGAGGAGAUGAGGGGAAACAACCUUGGGCUGCUGCCACUUCUGAGACAUAGUUGUUUGUGCUUUCUGUGAAAUGAAGUGCAGUCCUAUUCACACUGGAUUUAAACGAGUUACAGUGCAGUGGUGUUCAAAGGGACGGUUUUCAGGAUGGUGUGACCCCCCCCCCUUGCUGCCAGUGUGCAAUGGUGCAAGGAGCAGAAACAAAAACUCCUGUAGGGUUCUGUCAUAACUGUUACUCUGCUGUUUUCUGGCAGGAGGGGCUGGUCAUAUCAUCCUGCAUGCCCCAUUCCCCAGCACUGUAGAUCUCUGUCACUAGAUGCAUCUGGAUGGCUUUUAAGGUGGCUUUUACAGAUUAGAAGAUCAAGAGAUGGAGCAUAGCUCCACUUCUAAGGCAGUACUUUGACCUGAAUUUGCUUGCCCCUUUCAGAAUCUCAGGACUCUUAAGCAGGAGAGGAGCUUCCAUUCAUGAAACAUUUGAAUGAAAAGAUGGAUACCCGUAACACUUUUAAAAAAGAUUCUGGGCUAGAGCUCAGUGCAAGACUUUGCAUUUUGGAAGGUCCCAGGUUUGAUUCCUGUAUUCUUUUCUGGGAAAAGACUUUGUUCCAAACUCAGUAGCUCAGGGACAGAGUCCAUGUUUGGUGUGCAGGACAUCCCCAGUUUAAUCCCAGGCAGAUCCAGCUAGAACUAGGAAGGAGGACCCCACUGACACUAGCAGCGCUAGUGAAGCCAGGGGCAUCACUGUGGGGGUAUUGUGCUAGUUUUUUAUGUCACAACUAUUACCACGACAUUUAGUGAUAAAUGGGAAUUAUAAUUGAUGAUACUACAUACUACAUCAUACAGAAUGCUUAGUAAUUUUUUUUUGUACUACGAGUGUGUGUAUGUUAAUGUGGGAUGGGAUGAUAUCAUGAGUUAUAGCACUGAGUGAUGCCAACCCUAGUGAUGCCACUGACCCAGUGCCACUGAGCGAAGCUCCUACUUAUCCUAGGAAGACAGACCAGUGGUCUGAGUCAUCCACCUUACACUUCUGGUGUCUUCUCAGAAGUAAGUCCCAUUUGGAUCAAUGGCAGGUUGGAUAUUCUCAGAUGGUGGCUCUGCACUGGGUCAGUGCAUAUAACGUCUUUAUAUUAGUUGGAAUAUGCAGAAGCUGCCUUGGAACCUUUUCUGUUCUCAUCAUUUUUAAAAUGAGGCAAGUAAGCAGCAUCUGCCUUUAGAAUCCUACUGAGCAUCUGUGAGCAGAAAAACAGAGAGAACAAGCCUUCCUCACUAGCCAUCCCCAAUGAGUUCAAAAUGCAUAGUGUCUUGCCAACAAAAUGGAAAACUUAAGAACAGUGGAGGCUAGUAAAAGGAAAAGUCAUGCCUGGAUGGAUUUUGAAAGAAGUCUUCAAGUGGUCUAUAGAAAAUGUGCAAAUGUUUUUGUUUACUUGUACAGGGUUUACCUGACUUGGUUGUUUCUUUUCACAUCUGCAUAUUGUUAGUUUUGAAUUAAAAAAUUCUGAAACAUGUUGAGUGGCUCUUCAUGGCAGGAAUCUAUCCCUGUUCUAUGUUAUCUUUGCCUCUGGUUCCAAAUGUUUUGUUGAAGAAAUCAUGCCCAGCAACACAUGUACUUCAUUAAUUCAGGUAUAUCAGUGUAGUUCCAUAGUUAGAGACAGAGGACUGCCCACACUUCACCACUUAAUUCCAUGGCAUAUGGUAUAGUGAUUUGAGUAUUGGAAGAU